rnacentral:rRNA from 1 species
AACGAACGCUGGCGGCAUGCCUAACACAUGCAAGUCGAACGAGACCUUCGGGUCUAGUGGCGCACGGGUGCGUAACACGUGGGAAUUUGCCUCGGGGUAUGGAAUAACUCAGGGAAACUUGAGCUAAUACCAUAUAAUGUCUUCGGACCAAAGAUUUAUCGCCCUGAGAUAAGCCCGCGUAGGAUUAGCUAGUUGGUGGGGUAAAGGCUCACCAAGGCGACGAUCCUUAGCUGGUCUGAGAGGAUGAUCAGCCACACUGGGACUGAGACACGGCCCAGACUCCUACGGGAGGCAGCAGUGGGGAAUAUUGGACAAAUGGGCGAAAGCCUGAUCCAGCAAUGCCGCGUGAGUGAUGAAGGCCUCGGUUUGU